GUUUUAAUAGUUUAUUAUAAAACAUUGGUCUUGUAAACCAAAAAUAAGUUACACUUUUAAAACU
rnacentral:tRNA from 1 species